CCCAGCCAGCCAGCCAACCAUAUGAAGCUAUUUCAACAUAUCAACAACACACGGACUUCAGUUUUCCCUCGUUAACACGCGAGAAACAGUUGUUACGGAAAAGGAUGAUAUAUAAACACACAUUGCCGAGUGAUGAUGAUAAUGGCAAAAAAUAUACGAAUUACAAAAAAAUGUAUGAAUUAGAAAAAUAUAUUUUCUAAAAUAGUUUUUUUUUCUCUAUUUCUGGAAGUUGGAGAGGACUCCAACGUGUUAAAACAAAACAAAAAUAAAAGAAAGGAAAAAAAAAGAUUUAAAAAAGCCUAACACAUACAUACAGAAAAAAGUAUAUUUUAUUUUUAAUCAAAUAAUACAAAAUUGAUAGAUAACAAAACGAAAAAAGUUAUAUACAUAGAUUGUUACACCAUUUGUGUACAUACGACAUAUCUACACGCACUCACACCACAUACAUACUACACCAAAUACAUACAUUACUACAUACUUUACAAAACUAUAGAGAAGAUUAAGAUAAUGGAGUGUUCUCUGCAUAUUCCUUUGUUGGUGUUCCUGUGCAAUAACAACAGCAAGCUCGUUAACUUGUGGCUGCUAAUUUUUAUAUUUAUUGGUGCCCAGUGUUUGGAUGUUACCUACCAUGUGGAUGAACAAAAACUGCCAGGCACUUAUAUAGGAAACAUUGCAGCUGAUACGCAUCUUCUUGACUAUAAAAUGGUUACGUUCAGCAAUUUAAAGAAAGGCAAAGGUCGGAGUACUGAAAUGUUUAAUGUGUCUAAGAGUGGUGAGCUGUAUACUGCCAAAACACUAGAUGCUGAGACAUUAUGUAAAUAUAACAGUGAAUGCUAUAGAAUUGUCGAUGUUGCUGUGCAAAAUAUGGAUUCAUUUAUUAAGAUAUUGGAAGUGAAAGUUAUUAUAAAUGAUAUUAAUGACCAUCAACCUGAAUUUCCUGUUAAAAACAUAACCCUCCAGUUUGACGAAGGAGAUAAGAAGGGUAUGGUAAAGUUUAUACCAAAUGCUAUUGACAGAGAUGUCGGCAUUCUGAAUUCACAAAUUACGUACAUGCUGGAAAGAAAUGUUGAUGAUCCAUUUAAAUUAUCUGUUAGCAAAAAAGUUGAUGGCACUGCCAAAUUAGGAAUUGUUUUAGACGUAAGUUUAGACAGAGAAAUAAAAGAUAUUUAUAAUAUGAGAGUUAAAGCAAGAGAUGGAGGCACCCCUUCGAGGCAAGGUUUUUUGGAUAUUCAUAUAAACGUAGCUGAUCUUAAUGAUAACCCUCCCGUCUUCUCAAAGAAUAUUUAUAAUGUCUCUCUUGAAAAUACACAUCACUUUGAUACACCACUUGUUACUAUGUCUGCAACAGACCUUGAUUCUGGUAAAAAUGGUAAAUUUUUAUUUCACAUUAAUUCGAAAACAUCAAAUUUGACAAAGACUUAUUUUCGGCUCGAUCCAAUAACAGGCGAGAUAUUUCUGAACAAUAAAUUUAGUUUGGAAAAAAGACGGACAUAUAAACUGUUUAUUGAAGCAAGUGACAAUGGCAGUCCACCGCUCAGUUCGACCGCAAUUGUUUUGAUAAAUAUCAUCAACCAACAUAACAAUGCUCCCUCGGUGGAAGUUAACUUCUUUUCAGAAUCCACUGGAGACACAGUUACCAUUUCUGAAGGAAUCAAAAUUGGCAGUUUCAUUGCCUAUGUAAAAGUUACUGAUAAUGACAGUGGACAGAACGGUGAGGUCAGCUGUGACCUUUACCAUGAUAAAGUCCAGCUUCAGAGCUUAGGAAGAAAUAAAUACAAAGUAGUCAUAAAAAAUCUUGUCGACAGAGAACGCGAACAUUCUAUUGAUUUUACCAUUACUUGCCGAGAUAAAGGCUCCCCUCCCCUACACACAGAAAAUUCUUUCUCUGUGCAAGUGAUGGAUGUCAAUGAUGUACGACCACAGUUUACGAAGGACACUUUUAGAUUUCUGACCUAUGAAAAUGAGAAAAUAAAUUUCCCAGUUGGUUUUAUCAAUGCAACAGACCAAGAUGAAGGCUUGGGAGGUCAAUUGAGUUUUUAUCUGGAGCAAAGCAAGAACCAUUUAUUUCCUUUCCAAAUUUCGGAUUUCGGAUUUAUUCUAACUACUGAAUCAUUAGAUCGAGAACAACAGGACGUUUAUGAAUUCAAAGUUUUAGUAAAAGACAAUGGUACACCGUCCCUUAACAACACAGCUAAUGUGAUUGUUGAAGUGAUGGAUGAGAAUGACAACGCACCAUAUUUCAGCUUUCCUAGUGUUAACCCUUUCAGUUUAGAUGUCCACUACCAUCCACAAAGCAAGAAUGAUAUCACAGUUCUGAAAGCAUCAGAUAGGGAUAGUUAUGAGAAUGCCUUUCUGAAAUACGAAAUUCUAAGUGGCAAUGAUAAGCAGCUUUUUACUGUUAAUCCUUACAGCGGUGUUCUAUCAUUUUCACGUACUGUUUAUCAAAAUGAUGCCGGCUCCUAUGAGCUCCAGUUUGUUGUCAAAGACAGUGGAACACCCGUGCUUUCUGCCAAGACUACAAUGUCUUUGAUGCUAACAGUGAGCAAUAAAACAACCAAAUUAAUGACUACUGUCUAUUCUAAAUCAGACAAAAAAAUCCACAUCAAUUUGUUUAUUAUAAUACUAGUGGCCAUUCUCAUUGUGUCCAUCGCAAUUGUUGUCUCCAUUACCAUGUGCAUAGUACGCAGAAAUAACCAGAGGGCGGCACACUUUGCUAACACCAGUGAAUUUGUGGAUGAAAGCAGACAACUAAAAUUUUACACAGACGAGAUGACUUCUCAGAGUGGAACUCCAGUGGCUGUACCAGAUAUAGGAAAGUAUGAAAAAGCUCACAUGUCAGACUUUUGUGCUGAUUCACACUCUGGGCUUGACUCAAGUCUGGAAUCCAGGAAAGUUUCUGCCUCUGGAAUACACUGUCAAGCUACAACAGAGGGGACACAUCCAAGCAAAACCAGGAACUCUGAUGGUGUGACUGCACCAAUUUAUCAGCUGAGAUAUUUUUAACUAAGCAAUAGCGACAGCCGCCAUAAGCAAGUGAUUCUGAGGCUCCCAUCUGUGCUUUUGACAAGAAAAAAUCUGAUGUGCAUCCAAAAAAUAGUUGUGACACCCGAUGGUAGAAAAUACAAAGAAACUGCAUUCAAUGCACCGUGUCGCUACA
rnacentral:misc_RNA from 1 species